rnacentral:rRNA from 1 species
CUCAAAGGCGUUUUGAGUCGCGUGCCCUGGACCCGAAGCGGGAUGAUCUACGGCCCUGGGCAGGUUGAAGCGAGCGGGUAAGACCGCGGUGGAAGGGACCGAACCCACCUGGGUUGAAAACCGGGGGGAUGACCUGGGGCUAGGGGUGAAAGGCCAAUCAAAUUCCGUGAUAGCUGGUUCUCUCCGAAAUGCAUUUAGGUGCAGCGUCGGUUGAUUGCAUCGCGGGGGUAGAGCUACUGGAUGCUUGCGGGCCCGUAUGGGGUACCAACAGCAGCCAAACUCCGAAUACCGUUGAUGUGUAUUCCGGCAGUGAGUCGGCGGGGGAUAAGCUCCGUCGUCGAGAGGGAGACAGCCCAGAUCGUCGUCUAAGGUCCCGAAGCGUGUGCUAAGUGGGAAAGGAUGUGGAGUCGCAUAGACAGCCAGGAGGUUGGCUCAGAAGCAGCCAUCCUUGAAAGAGUGCGUAACAGCUCACUGGUCUAGUGGUUCCGCGCCGACAAUGUAGCGGGGCUCAAGCACACCACCGAAGACGCGGCAACAGUUUUUUGCUGUUGGGUAGGAGAGCGUCCCCCGAGGGGCGAAGCGGCCGCGCAAGCGCGCCGUGGACUUCGGGGGAGUGAGAAUGCAGACAUGAGUAGCGAGAGACGGGUGAGGAUCCCGUCCGCUGGAUGACCAAGGGUUCCGGGGCCACGUUCGUCGUCCCCGGGUGAGUCGGGUCCUAAGGCGAGGCCGACAGGCGUAGUCGAAUGGAUGAACGGGUGGAUAUUCCCGUACCGGCAGCGAACCGCAAGAGCCGAACGGAUGAGUACUAACCUCCGGUCGCGUGGCGUCGUUCCCUUCGGGGUUCGGGGCGCGCGAUUGUUGGGAAUGUAGUCCUGGUAGGUUAGCGCACAGGGGUGACACGGAAUGGGAGCCGGCCGCGGAGGUGGUUUUCCGUGGUCAAGCACGCAGCCCGUCCCAUAGGCAAAUCCGUGGGACAUGCAGGGUGAGGUGCGAUGAUGGGCGCCUUUCAGGCGCGAUAUCCGGUGGUCCAGGCCGUCGAGAAAAGCCUCGGCGCGAGGGGCGUUGCCGCCCGUACCCCAAACCGACACUGGUGGUCAGGUAGAGAAUACCAAGGCGAUCGAGCGAAUCCUGGUCAAGGAACUCGGCAAAUCACUCCCGUGCCUUCGGUAUAAGGGAGACCCCUGAUGGUGAUGGAACUUGCUUCCGGAGCUUUCGGGGGUGGCACAGACCAGGGGGUAGCGACUGUUUACCAAAAACACAGGUGCAUGCGAAGGCGCAAGCCGCUGUAUAUGCACUGACGCCUGCCCGGUGCCGGAAGGUUAAGAGGAUCCGUCAGCCCUCGGGUGAAGCGGUGAAUUCAAGCCCCGGUAAACGGCGGUGGUAACUAUAACCAUCCUAAGGUAGCGAAAUUCCUUGUCGGGUAAGUUCCGACCUGCACGAAUGGCGUAACGACUUCCCCACUGUCUCGACCAGGAGCUCGGCGAAAUUGCAGUACGAGUAAAGAUGCUCGUUAAGCGCAGAAGGACGAAAAGACCCCGGGACCUUUACUAUACCUUGGUAUUGGCGUUAGGCGCGGAUUGUGUAGCAUAGGCGGGAGGCUUCGAAGCGCGGGCGCCAGCCCGUGUGGAGCCGCAAGGUGAAAUACCGCUCUGUUCUCGUUUGACGUCUCACCUCGAACAGUCAUCCUGUUCAGGGACAGUGCCUGGCGGGUAGUUUAACUGGGGCGGUUGCCUCCCAAAGAGUAACGGAGGCGCUCAAAGGUCCGCUCAGCCCGGUUGGCAAUCGGGUUUCGAGUGUAAUCGCACAAGCGGGCUUGACUGCGAGAACGACGGUUCGGGCAGGGACGAAAGUCGGAGAUAGUGAUCCGGUGCCGGCGCACGGGCGCGGCAUCGCUCAACGGAUAAAAGGUACCCCGGGGAUAACAGGCUGAUCAUUCCCAAGAGUCCAUAUCGACGGGAUGGUUUGGCACCUCGAUGUCGGCUCGUCGCAUCCUGGGGCUGGAGCAGGUCCCAAGGGUUCGGCUGUUCGCCGAUUAAAGCGGCACGCGAGCUGGGUUCAGAACGUCGUGAGACAGUUUGGUCUCUAUCCUCUGCGCUCGUUGGAAUCCUGAGGAGGCCUGCCCAUAGUACGAGAGGACCUGGGUGGACGGACCUCUGGUAUGCCGGUUGUCGCGCCAGCGGCAUGGCCGGUUGGCUACGUUCGGGAGGGAUAACCGCUGAAAGCAUCUAAGCGGGAAGCCUGCUCCAAGAUUAGGAUUCCUUGGCACUUCGGUGUCUGUAGCCCGCAUGUUGAACACGUGUUCGAUAGGCCGGAGGUGGAAGUCCCGCGAGGGAUGGAGCCGACCGGUACUAACGGGCGAACGCGGCACACU